ACGGGAGGCAGCAGUGGGGAAUAUUGCACAAUGGGGGAAACCCUGAUGCAGCAACGCCGCGUGAGUGAAGAAGUAUUUCGGUAUGUAAAGCUCUAUCAGCAGGGAAGAAACAAGACGGUACCUGACUAAGAAGCCCCGGCUAACUACGUGCCAGCAGCCGCGGUAAUACGUAGGGGGCAAGCGUUAUCCGGAUUUACUGGGUGUAAAGGGAGCGUAGGCGGCGAUGCAAGUCAGAAGUGAAAGCCCGGGGCUUAACCCCGGGACUGCUUUUGAAACUGUGUUGCUAGAUUGCAGGAGAGGUAAGUGGAAUUCCUAGUGUAGCGGUGAAAUGCGUAGAUAUUAGGAGGAACACCAGUGGCGAAGGCGGCUUACUGGACUGUAAAUGACGCUGAGGCUCGAAAGCGUGGGGAGCAAACAGGAUUAGAUACCCUGGUA
rnacentral:rRNA from 2 species